GCUUAACGCGAAGAACCUUACCCACACUUGACAUGCCUCUUUUGGCUUUCAGAGAUGAUUGCCUUCGGUUCGGCCGGGGAGGUGCACAGGUGCUGCAUGGCGUGUCGUCAGCUCGUGUCGUGAGAUGUUGGGUUAAGUCCGCAACGAGCGCAACCCUUACUCGUAUGUUGCCAGCAUUUAGUUGGGCACUCGUGCGAGACUGCCGGUGAUAAGCCGGAGGAAGGCGGGGACGGACGUCAAGUCAUCAUGGCCCUUACGUGUGGGCUAGAAACGUGCUACAAUGGGAGUGACAGUGAGCAGCAAGGUCGCGAGGCCAAGCUAAUCUCCAAAAGCUCUCUCAGUUCAGAUUGUAGUCUGCAACUCGACUACAUGAAGUUGGAAUCGCUAGUAAUCGCAAAUCAGCAUGUUGCGGUGAAUACGUUCCCGGGGUCUUGUACACACCGAGGUCGGUGGGGGA
rnacentral:rRNA from 1 species